AGUGAACGCUGGCGGCAGGCCUAAUACAUGCAAGUCGAACGGCAGCACAGCAGAGCUUGCUCUGUGGGUGGCGAGUGGCGGACGGGUGAGGAAUACGUGGGAAUCUGCCCAGUCGUGGGGGAUAACGUAGGGAAACUUACGCUAGUACCGCAUGCGCCCCUUCGGGGGAAAGCCGGGGACCUUCGGGCCUGGCGCGAUUGGAUGAGCCCACGUCGGAUUAGCUAGUUGGCGGGGUAAAGGCCCACCAAGGCGACGAUCCGUAGCUGGUCUGAGAGGAUGAUCAGCCACACUGGAACUGAGACACGGUCCAGACUCCUACGGGAGGCAGCAGUAGGGAAUAUUGGACAAUGGGCGCAAAGCCUGAUCCAGCCAUGCCGCGUGAGUGAAGAAGGACCCUCGGGUUGUAAAGCUCUUUUGUCCGGAAAGAAAAGCGCCGGGUUAAUACCCUGUGUCCUGACGGUACCGGAAGAAUAAGCACCGGCUAACUUCGUGCCAGCAGCCG
rnacentral:rRNA from 1 species